CAGAGAAAAGAGAGGAAGUCAAAGGACAAUAGUCUGAAAUUGGCCCUGGACUUGGACAUACCUGUGGAGGUCUUCAGCUCUCCGCUGGCUUUGCCCAAAGACCCAGUCCUCAGGAAGCAGCACCUUGAGGACCUGAUGGCAAAGAUCCAUGGCUCCUUCACGUUCAUGCAGGAUUCUCUUCUGGAUGGUGAGAGUUCCCCCCAAAGUAACCAUGCUGUGCGGAACAGACGGGCGUCUGGACCUCCCUCUCCUCUGGCUCAGACUGAAGUCAAACACCCGCUGGACAUCCCUCC